CCUACGGGUGGCAGCAGUGAGGAAUAUUGGUCAAUGGCCGAGAGGCUGAACCAGCCAAGUCGCGUGAGGGAAGACGGCCCUACGGGUUGUAAACCUCUUUUGCCGGGGAGCAGAGGUCCGGACGUGUCCGGGCCGGGAGAGUACCCGAAGAAAAAGCAUCGGCUAACUCCGUGCCAGCAGCCGCGGUAAUACGGAGGAUGCGAGCGUUAUCCGGAUUGAUUGGGUUUAAAGGGUGCGCAGGCGGAAGAUCAAGUCAGCGGUAAAAUUGAGAGGCUCAACCUCUUCGAGCCGUUGAAACUGGUUUUCUUGAGUGAGUGAGAAGUAUGCGGAAUGCGUGGUGUAGCGGUGAAAUGCAGAGAUAUCACGCAGAACUCCGAUUGCGAAGGCAGCAUACCGGCGCCCAACUGACGCUGAAGCACGAAAGCGUGGGUAUCGAACAGGAUUAGAUACCCCUGUAGUC
rnacentral:rRNA from 1 species